rnacentral:rRNA from 1 species
UUGAACGCUGGCGGCGUGCUUAACACAUGCAAGUCGAACGCGAAAGGGGACUUCGGUCCUGAGUAAAGUGGCGCACGGGUGAGUAACGCGUGGAUAAUCUGCCCUUAUGAUCGGGAUAACAGUUGGAAACGGCUGCUAAUACCGGAUACGCUCAAAAUGAACUUUUUGAGGAAAGAUGGCCUCUGCUUGCAUGCUAUCACGUAAGGAUGAGUCCGCGUCCCAUUAGCUUGUUGGCGGGGUAACGGCCCACCAAGGCAACGAUGGGUAGCCGAUUUGAGAGGAUGAUCGGCCACACUGGAACUGAAACACGGUCCAGACUCCUACGGGAGGCAGCAGUGGGGAAUAUUGCGCAAUGGGCGAAAGCCUGACGCAGCGACGCCGCGUGAGGGGUGAAGGUUUUCGGAUCGUAAACCUCUGUCAGAAGGGAAGAAACUACGUUGUGCUAAUCAGCAGCGUACUGACGGUACCUUCAAAGGAAGCACCGGCUAACUCCGUGCCAGCCGCAGC